AGCGGCGGACGGGUGAGUAAUGUCUGGGAAACUGCCUGAUGGAGGGGGAUAACUACUGGAAACGGUAGCUAAUACCGCAUAAUGUCGCAAGACCAAAGUGGGGGACCUUCGGGCCUCAUGCCAUCAGAUGUGCCCAGAUGGGAUUAGCUAGUAGGUGGGGUAACGGCUCACCUAGGCGACGAUCCCUAGCUGGUCUGAGAGGAUGACCAGCCACACUGGAACUGAAACACGGUCCAGACUCCUACGGGAGGCAGCAGUGGGGAAUAUUGCACAAUGGGCGCAAGCCUGAUGCAGCCAUGCCGCGUGGAUGAAGAAGGCCUUCGGGUUGUAAAGUACUUUCA
rnacentral:rRNA from 1 species